AUGGCAAAAGCCUAUGAUCGGGUCGAGUGGGAAUAUUUGAGACAGAUGAUGCAGAAACUCGGUUUUGCAGAGUUGUGGAUCAGUAGAGUGAUGGCUUGUAUUCAAUCCGCCUCAUUCUCAGUUCGAGUUAAUGGUGUUUUCUCUGAAACUUUUAAACCCUCGAGAGGUAUAAGGCAAGGGGAUCCAGUUUCCCCAUACUUGUUUCUUAUUUGCGCUGAAGGACUAGCAAGUCUACUUAAGUGUAUUGGCACAUGUAUUUAUCCAGGGGAAUUCGUGUGGGCAUCCAAUCUCCAUGAAUUUACAACCUUCUUUUUGCAGAUGACUGCAUUGUAUUUACCCAAGCAUCUCAAGAGGGAGUCAGUAGGUUACAUAAUAUUCUGGAGUUGUAUCGCCUAG
rnacentral:rRNA from 1 species